CAGCCGCCGCGGUAACACGUAGGAGGCAAACGUUAUCCGGAUUUACUGGGCGUAAAGCGCGUGUAGGUGGUUUGGUAAGUAGGGCGUGAAAGCUCCUGGCUCAACUGAGAGAGGACGUUCUAAACUGCCAAGCUUGAGGAUGGUAGAGGGAGGUGGAAUUCCGGGUGUAGCGGUGGAAUGCGCAGAUAUCCGGAGGAACACCAGUGGCGAAGGCGGCCUCCUGGACCACUCCUGACACUCAGACGCGAAAGCUAGGGUAGCAAACGGGAUUAGAGACCCCGGUAGUCCUAGCCCUAAACGAUGUAGACUUGGCGUCGGUGGUUUAAUCGCCAUCGGUGCCGUAGCUAACGCGAUAAGUCUACCGCCUGGGGACUACGGCCGCAAGGUUAAAACUCAAAGGAAUUGACGGGUCCCCGCACAAGCAGCGGAGCGUGUGGUUUAAUUCGAUGCUACACGAAGAACCUUACCUGGGUUUGACAUAGAGGUAGUAGGGAAGCGAAAGCGGACCGACCCUUCGGGGAGCCUCUACAGGUGUUGCAUGGCUGUCGUCAGCUCGUGUCGUGAGAUGAUCGGUUAAGUCCGCUAACGAGCGCAACCCUCGCUGUGUGUUACAAGUGUCACACGGUACUGCCGAUAUUAAGUCGGAGGAAGGUGGGGAUGACGUCAAGUCAGCAUGACCUUUAUAUCCAGGGCUACACACACGCUGCAAUGGCCAGUACAAUGGGGUUGCCAAGCCGCGAGGCGGAGCCGAUCCUAAAAAGCUGGCCUCAGUUCAAAUUGCGGUCUGCAACUCGGCUGCAUGAAGUUGGAGUUGCUAGUAACCGCAGGUCAGCAAUACUGCGGUGAAUACGCUCCCGGGGAUUGCACACACCGCCGGU
rnacentral:rRNA from 1 species